UGAUUAGCAUACCUUGGUGCAUUGA
rnacentral:misc_RNA from 1 species